AAACGACUCGGCAACGGAUAUCUCGGCCUCGCAUCGAUAAAACGUAGCGAAUGCGAUCUUGGUGUGAAUUGCAGAACCCGUGAACCAUCGAGUUUGAACGCAGUUGCGCCCGAAGCCAUUAGGUUGAGGGCACGUGCCUGGGCGUACG
rnacentral:rRNA from 1 species